UGCAUGGUGGCGCAGUUGGUAGAACUGUUGCAAGAAGGUCCUGGGUUCGACUCCCGGCCAAACGUCUUUCUGCAU